CCCCGAAGUGUGGUCCGCUGGUCUCCC
rnacentral:sRNA from 1 species